UUGGACCAUGAGAUAUAACAAAGGCUCAGGAGUCCCCCUGGUGGUUUCUUACCCUAAAAGCAAAAUAAAUGCAUAGAAAUAAAGAGACUUGCAAACCCAGUCUGGAAUCUGUGAAGGCAGGGACUGGUUCCUGUCGGUCUCCCAGCUCCAGCACAGCAUCUGGCACAUCACAGAAAGAAAGCACCUCGCUGAGUGGUGACCUCUCUCGCUACAUGGAUACCUGCUAGAAACAACAAACCUCACGUGUUAAAACU